UGGGGAAUCUUGCACAAUGGGGGCAACCCUGAUGCAGCGACGCCGCGUGAGCGAUGAAGCCCUUCGGGGCGUAAAGCUCUUUCGACCGGAACGAUAAUGACGGUACCUGCAGAAUAAGCCCCGGCAAACUUCGUGCCAGCAGCCGCGGUAAUACGAAGGGGGCUAGCGUUGUUCGGAUUUACUGGGCGUAAAGCGCACGUAGGCGGAUUGUUAAGUCAGGGGUGAAAUCCCGGAGCUCAACUCCGGAACUGCCUUUGACACUGGCAAUCUUGAGGCUGGAAGAGNUUGGUAGAAUUCCCAGUGUAGAGGUGAAAUUCGUAGAUAUUGGGAAGAAUACCAGUGGCGAAGGCGGCCAACUGGUCCAGAUCUGUCGCUGCGGUGCGAAAGCGUGGGGAGCAAGCA
rnacentral:rRNA from 1 species